ACUUUUCUAUGGGCAGGCCAGCAUCAGUUCGGGCGGUUGGAGAAAGACCUGUGUCACGUAGCUCUCUUCGGGGAGUGUUAUAGGGCAGGUGGAAUGCAACCAGCCUGAACUGAGGUCCGCGCAUCUGCUAGGAUGCUGGCGUAAUGGCUGUAAGCGGCCCGUCUUGAAACACGGACCAAGGAGUCUAACAUCUAUGCGAGUGCUUGGGUGUCAAGCCCGAGCGCGUAAUGAAAGUGAACGGAGGUGGGAACCCCUCGGGGCGCACCAUCGACCGAUCCUGAUGUCUUCGGAUGGAUUUGAGUAAGAGCAUAGCUGUUGGGACCCGAAAGAUGGUGAACUAUGCCUGAAUAGGGUGAAGCCAGAGGAAACUCUGGUGGAGGCUCGCAGCGGUUCUGACGUGCAAAUCGAUCGUCAAAUUUGGGCAUAGGGGCGAAAGACUAAUCGAACUAUCUAGUAGCUGGUUCCUGCCGAAGUUUCCCUCAGGAUAGCAGUAACGUUUUCAGUUUUAUGAGGUAAAGCGAAUGAUUAGAGGCCUGGGGGUUGAAACAACCUUCACCUAUUCUCAAACUUUAAAUAUGUAAGAAGUCCUUGUUUCUUAAUUGAACGUGGACAUUUGAAUGUAUCGUUACUAGUGGGCCAUUUUUGGUAAGCAGAACUGGCGUUGCGGGAUGAACCGAACGCGGGGUUAAGGUGCCAGAAUGCACGCUCAUCAGACACCACAAAAGGUGUUAGUUCAUCUAG
rnacentral:rRNA from 1 species